rnacentral:misc_RNA from 1 species
UAUGGAGAAGCCGGAGAGACGA